rnacentral:rRNA from 1 species
GUAGGGAAUAUUGGACAAUGGGUGCAAGCCUGAUCCAGCCAUGCCGCGUGCAGGAAGAAGGCCUUCUGGGUCGUAAACUGCUUUUACCGGGGGAUAAAAUACUCUUGCGAGAGGAAUUGAAAGUACCUGGUGAAUAAGCCACGGCUAACUACGUGCCAGCAGCCGCGGUAAUACGUAGGUGGCAAGCGUUGUCCGGAUUUAUUGGGUUUAAAGGGUGCGUAGGCGGUCCUGUAAGUCAGUUGUGAAAUACGGCAGCUUAACUGUCGAGGUGCAAUUGAUACUGCAGGACUUGAGUACUGAUGAGGUAGGCGGAAUGGACGGUGUAGCGGUGAAAUGCUUAGAGAUCGUCCAGAACACCGAUAGCGAAGGCAGCUUACUAAGGAGUAACUGACGCUGAGGCACGAAAGUGUGGGGAUCAAACAGGAUUAGAUACCCCGGUAGUCC